UAUUUCCAGAGAUACUUGUCUCUUAAAUGCCCACUUAAAACCACACAUACCACAUUGAGAAAGGAUUUGAUCUGGGCACAGUACGUGAGCACACAGAGAGACUGAAGCCAUUUAUUUGUGCCAACUUUUGCAGGGCCGAGGAUUAAGUGUGAAGGAGGAUUCUGGCAGUUGGGCUGAACAAAGACAUAAGACAUGUUUAAUCCUCAGCAGGAUGCUUGGCAUAUACUGGCGAUUGCAGAAAACAUGGGCAUCUUCAUGAGACAAUAGUAAAAUACAUACAAAUGAGAAACUUAAUAUGAGCCUCUGAAAAUGCAUUGAUUACAGACAGGACCAACUUUGUGGGUGCUGCUGGAAAUUAUCACUAUGGACCCUUUUUUCUGAGGUAAGAGGCAAGGGAACUGACAUGAACCAAAACCUUAAAGGCUAUCUCACCUUACGUUCAAGAAAAUCCUCUGAGGUGAGCAUGUGAACAUCUUUCUAAACUUAGGAAGUUGGAGUUCAGUGAAGUUAAGCAACUCGCUCAAGAUUAGGCAGUUAGUAUGUGACCAAACAAGGCAUCUAACCCAGACCUAACUUCUCCCAAACCCGAAGUCUUUGCCCUUUCUACAUUUCUGCUACAUCGUCCUACCGU
rnacentral:lncRNA from 1 species